rnacentral:lncRNA from 1 species
GGGGAAGGGACUCCUGAAAGGCCUUCUGGGCUAUCCUGAGGACCCAGUUGCCUCCAGCUACCUUAACAGAGAUACAUAAUCCUCUGCCUGAAUUCAACACUGAGUCUGGUAUUGGCUUUAGCAACCACCAUGUCAAGCUCAUUUCCUGGUAUGACAAACUUUAGCCACUCAGCUAUAUUCCCAGCCUCCCACCACACCACACUUUGCUUUCUUGAAACAAGGCUUUUCUAUAUACCAACCCUCCUGCCUCUACCCACCAAGUACUGGGACCACUCGCAUGUGCCGUCACACUUGGUCUGCGGACGUUCUC